rnacentral:rRNA from 2 species
UACGAAGGGGGCUAGCGUUGUUCGGAAUUACUGGGCGUAAAGCGCACGUAGGCGGAUUUGUUAGUCAGGGGUGAAAUCCCGGGGCUCAACCUCGGAACUGCCUUUGAUACUGCAAGUCUAGAGUCCGGAAGAGGUGAGUGGAAUUCCUAGUGUAGAGGUGAAAUUCGUAGAUAUUAGGAAGAACACCAGUGGCGAAGGCGGCUCACUGGUCCGGUACUGACGCUGAGGUGCGAAAGCGUGGGGAGCAAACAGG